rnacentral:rRNA from 1 species
AGUGAACGCUGGCGGUAGGCCUAACACAUGCAAGUCGAACGGCAGCACAGUAAGAGCUUGCUCUUACGGGUGGCGAGUGGCGGACGGGUGAGGAAUACAUCGGAAUCUACUUUUUCGUGGGGGAUAACGUAGGGAAACUUACGCUAAUACCGCAUACGACCUACGGGUGAAAGCAGGGGCUCUUCGGACCUUGCGCGAUUGCAUGAGCCGAUGUCGGAUUAGCUAGUUGGCGGGGUAAAGGCCCACCAAGGCGACGAUCCGUAGCUGGUCUGAGAGGAUGAUCAGCCACACGGGAACUGAGACACGCUCCAGACUCCUACGGGAGGCGGCAGUGGGGAAUAUUGGACAAUGGGCGCAAGCCUGAUCCAGCCAUACCGCGUGGGUGAAGAAGGCCUUCGGGUUGUAAAGCCCUUUUGUUGGGAAAGAAAAGCAGCAGGUUAAUACCCCGCUGUUCUGACGGUACCCAAAGAAUAAGCACCGGCUAACUUCGUG